UAGGGAAUCUUCCGCAAUGGACGCAAGUCUGACGGAGCAACGCCGCGUGAGUGAAGAAGGAUUUCGGUUCGUAAAACUCUGUUGUUAGAGAAGAACAGCGCAUAGAGUAACUGUUAUGCGUGUGACGGUAUCUAACCAGAAGGCCACGGCUAACUACGUGCCAGCAGCCGCGGUAAUACGUAGGUGGCAAGCGUUGUCCGGAUUUAUUGGGCGUAAAGCGAGCGCAGGCGGUCAAUUAAGUCUGAUGUGAAAGCCCCCGGCUCAACCGGGGAGGGUCAUUGGAAACUGGUUGACUUGAGUGCAGAAGAGGAGAGUGGAAUUCCAUGUGUAGCGGUGAAAUGCGUAGAUAUAUGGAGGAACACCAGUGGCGAAGGCGACUCUCUGGUCUGUAACUGACGCUGAGGUUCGAAAGCGUGGGUAGCAAACAGG
rnacentral:rRNA from 1 species